rnacentral:rRNA from 1 species
CCUACGGGUGGCUGCAGUGGGGAAUAUUGCACAAUGGGCGCAAGCCUGAUGCAGCCAUGCCGCGUGUGUGAAGAAGGCCUUCGGGUUGUAAAGCACUUUCAGCGGGGAGGAAGGCGUUAAGGUUAAUAACCUUGGCGAUUGACGUUACCCGCAGAAGAAGCACCGGCUAACUCCGUGCCAGCAGGCGCGGUAAUACGGAGGGUGCAAGCGUUAAUCGGAAUUACUGGGCGUAAAGCGCACGCAGGCGGUCUGUCAAGUCGGAUGUGAAAUCCCCGGGCUCAACCUGGGAACUGCAUUCGAAACUGGCAGGCUAGAGUCUGGUAGAGGGGGGUAGAAUUCCAGGUGUAGCGGUGAAGUGCGUAGAGAUCGGGAGGAAUACCGGUGGCGAAGGCGGCCCCCUGGACAAAGACUGACGCUCAGGUGCGAAAGCGUGGGGAGCAAACGGGAUUAGAUACCCCAGUAGUC